rnacentral:rRNA from 1 species
AUGCCAUGUCAGGUGCACCUAUCAGAAUCGGAACAAACCAAUUACCAAAUCCACCUAUCAUCGCCGGCAUAA